GCCGUCAAUUCCUUUAAGUUUCAGCCUUGCGGCCGUACUCCCCAGGUGGAUGACUUAUCGCUUUCGCUUGACCACCGACACUGUAUCGCCGACGGCUAGUCAUCAUCGUUUACAGCGUGGACUACCAGGGUAUCUAAUCCUGUUCGAUACCCACGCUUUCGUGCAUCAGCGUCAAUCUCCGAUUCGUCAGAUGCCUUCGCAAUCGGUGUUCUGUGUGAUAUCUAUGCAUUUCACCGCUACACCACACAUUCCUCCGACGGCAUCGGAAUUCUAGCGCUCCGGUUUCAACGGCAGCCCCGGGGUUGAGCCCCGGUAUUUCACCGCUGACCUGAAGCGCCGCCUACGCACCCUUUAAACCCAAUAAAUCCGGAUAACGCUCGCAUCCCCCGUAUUACCGCGG
rnacentral:misc_RNA from 1 species